rnacentral:lncRNA from 1 species
AAGAAAUGUGUUUGUAUGAUUAUGAACACACGUGAUUGAGGUCACGUGUGCAAACUGCUCAGCGCAAGGAACGAGUAGCCUGCAGGGUUUGAUUCAUGAACAGCAGUAGUAUCACCCCCCAAGAACAGUAACCAUGCGCGUGUUGUAUCAUUUUCUGAAUGUUUCUCUCCAAUACAGCAGAUCCUCAAGGCAGAGCAUAAAGAUGCCUAAGUGGUCGAUGUCAUUGUUUGCAAAGGGCAAGAGAGAGCCACUGAAGGUGCUGGAGGAAGGCAGGAUGUCAACAGAAGGAAAGGGAAGGGGUUUAAAGAAGACUGGCUUGGACACACCCUUCCCCCUCUACUCCUUAAGACCCAAACAAAUGGUGGGGGCACUGGUUUUCUCCUCUCCAGCACCCCCAGGGGCCCAUCGUUGUGUCUGCCAGAUGUUUGCUGAAGGAACGCACGAAGAGGGGGUGCCUGGGUGGCUCAGUCGGUUAGACGUCUGACUCUCGGUUUCCGCUCAGGUCGUGAUCUCACGGUUUCUGAGUUUGCGUCCCUGUUGGGCUCUGUGCUGGCAGUGUGGAGACUGCUUGGGAUUCUCUCUCUCCCUCUUUCUCUCUGCCCCUCCCCCCCCCCAGUGCUGUCUCCGUCACUCUCAAAAUAAGUAAAUAAAAU